ACUCUGGUGGCCUAAUGGUUAGAGCGUCCGCCUCAGAUGCGGAAGAUCGUGGGUUGGAUCAACGGCUGAGUC